rnacentral:rRNA from 1 species
AACGAACGCUGGCGGCAUGCCUAACACAUGCAAGUCGAACGAGACCUUCGGGUCUAGUGGCGCACGGGUGCGUAACGCGUGGAACCUGCCCUUAGGUUCGGAAUAACUCCCCGAAAGGGGUGCUAAUACCGGAUAAUGUCUUCGGACCAAAGAUUUAUCGCCUUUGGAUGGGCCCGCGUUGGAUUAGCUAGUUGGUAGGGUAAAAGCCUACCAAGGCGACGAUCCAUAGCUGGUCUGAGAGGAUGAUCAGCCACACUGGGACUGAGACACGGCCCAGACUCCUACGGGAGGCAGCAGUGGGGAAUAUUGGACAGUGGGCGAAAGCCUGAUCCAGCAAUGCCGCGUGAGUGAUGAAGGCCUUAGGGUUGUAAAGCUCUUUUACCCGGGAUGAUAAUGACAGUACCGGGAGAAUAAGCUCCGGCUAACUCCGUG